CCCCCAUGUAUUUUAUUUGUGCAGCCCAUUCCCCAUCAUUUUCUUUUAUUUUUCCUUCAUUCCCUAAUUUCCUUUUUCUUUUUUCUUUUGUCCCCUCUUCCCAGACCCUGCCACCCUUCCUCUAUAAAUAGCCUUUAGAGGUUCGUUAGCCCCUCACUGCCCUCCCUUUACCCCCCUCUUCUAAGCUCAAACCCACUCACACACACAGAGAGAGAGAGAGAGAGAGCUGUCCUGAUAUAUCUAUAUCCUUAGAGAGAGAGAGAGAGA
rnacentral:lncRNA from 1 species